GACGAACGCUGGCGGCGUGCUUAACACAUGCAAGUCGAGCGGUAAGGCCCUUUCGGGGGUACACGAGCGGCGAACGGGUGAGUAACACGUGGGUGACCUGCCCUCAGCUCUGGGAUAAGCCUGGGAAACUGGGUCUAAUACUGGAUAUGACUCCACGGUGCAUGUCGUGGGGUGGAAAGCCUUGUGCGGCUGAGGAUGGGCCCGCGGCCUAUCAGCUUGUUGGUGGGGUGAUGGCCACCAAGGCGACGACGGGUAGCCGGCCUGAGAGGGCGACCGGCCACACUGGGACUGAGACACGGCCCAGACUCCUACGGGAGGCAGCAGUGGGGAAUCUUGCGCAAU
rnacentral:rRNA from 1 species